AUAAGCACUAUACCGUGAACUGCGAAUGGCUCAUUAUAUCAGUAAUUGUUUAUUUGAUAGUACCUAUUUACCUGGAUACCCGUGGUAAUUCUAGAGCUAAUACAUGCUAAAAACCCCGACUUCGGAAGGGGUGUAUUUAUUAGAUAAAAAACCAAUGCCCUCUGGGGCUCCCUGGUGAUUCAUAAUAACUUAACGAAUCGCAUGGCCUUGCGCUGGCGAUGGUUCAUUCAAAUUUCUGCCCUAUCAACUUUCGAUGGUAGGAUAGUGGCCUACCAUGGUAUCAACGGGUAACGGGGAAUUAGGGUUCUAUUCCGGAGAGGGAGCCUGAGAAACGGCUACCACAUCCAAGGAAGGCAGCAGGCGCGCAAAUUACCCAAUCCCAAUACGGGGAGGUAGUGACAAUAAAUACUGAUACAGGGCUCUUUUGGGUCUUGUAAUUGGAAUGAGUACAACUUAAAUCCCUUAACGAGGAACAAUUGGAGGGCAAGUCUGGUGCCAGCAGCCGCGGUAAUUCCAGCUCCAAUAGCGUAUAUUAAAGUUGUUGCAGUUAAAAAGCUCGUAGUUGAACCUUGGGCCUGGCUGGUCGGUCCGCCUCACCGCGUGCACUGAUCCGGCCGGGCCUUUCCUUCUGGGGAGCCGCAUGCCCUUCACUGGGUGUGUCGGGGAACCAGGACUUUUACUUUGAAAAAAUUAGAGUGUUCAAAGCAGGCCUAUGCUCGAAUACAUUAGCAUGGAAUAAUAGAAUAGGACGUGUGGUUCUAUUUUGUUGGUUUCUAGAAUCGCCGUAAUGAUUAAUAGGGAUAGUCGGGGGCAUCAGUAUUCAAUUGUCAGAGGUGAAAUUCUUGGAUUUAUUGAAGACUAACUACUGCGAAAGCAUUUGCCAAGGAUGUUUUCAUUAAUCAGUGAACGAAAGUUAGGGGAUCGAAGACGAUCAGAUACCGUCGUAGUCUUAACCAUAAACUAUGCCGACUAGGGAUCGGGCGAUGUUAUUUUUUGACUCGCUCGGCACCUUACGAGAAAUCAAAGUCU
rnacentral:rRNA from 1 species